rnacentral:rRNA from 1 species
UACAGAGGGUGCAAGCGUUAAUCGGAAUUAUUGGGCGUAAAGCGCGCGCAGGCGGUUCCUUAAGUCUGAUGUGAAAGCCCACGGCUCAACCGUGGAGGGUCAUUGGAAACUGGGGAACUGGAAUGCAGAAGAGGAGAGUGGAAUUCCACGUGUAGCGGUGAAAUGCGUAGAUAUGUGGAGGAACACCAGUGGCGAAGGCGGCUCUCUGGUCUGUUAUUGACGCUGAGGCGCGAAAGCGUGGGGAGCAAACAGG